rnacentral:misc_RNA from 1 species
UUGAAUGAAUGUAGAGUUUGGUUGUAGCUGGUCUUCCAAAGGCAUGUGCACACCAUUCUCUUUCAUCCACACACCCCUGUGCACUUGUAAGACGGAGGCUGUUCUCUUUUAUUAGAGACGUUUCCGUCUGCUAACACAUAAAAUCAUAUAAUUAAAUUUGAAUGUAAUUGAUGUAACGCAUCUAAUAC